rnacentral:rRNA from 1 species
UUCGGGGGAUGCAAGCGUUAUCCGGAAUUAUUGGGCGUAAAGCGUCCGUAGGUGGUUGGCCAAGUCUGCUGUCAAAGGGUGGGGCUUAACCUCAUAAAGGCAGUGGAAACUGGCGAGCUAGAGUGCGGUAGGGGUAGGGGGAAUUCCCAGUGUAGCGGUGAAAUGCGUAGAGAUUGGGAAGAACAUCGGUGGCGAAAGCGCCCUGCUGGGCCGGCACUGACACUGAGGGACGAAAGCUAGGGGAGCGAAAGGG